GUAAGUAAAAGUCGUAACAAGGUUUCCGUAGGUGAACCUGCGGAAGGAUCAUUAUUGUAUAACCGAGGUGCGAGGGCUGUCGCUGACCCGAAAGGUCGUGCACGCCCGAGUGCCCUCACACAUCCAUCUCACCCCUAUGUGCACCACCGCGUGGGUCCCCCUUUGGCUUGUUCGGAGGGGGGCUUACGUUUUCACACAAACUUUGUAUGCAGUGUAGAAUGUAUUUUUUGUUUUUGCGAUCACGCAAUCAAUACAACUUUCAACAACGGAUCUCUUGGCUCUC
rnacentral:misc_RNA from 1 species